rnacentral:rRNA from 1 species
UACGGGAGGGUGCAAGCGUUAUCCGGAUUCACUGGGUUUAAAGGGUGCGUAGGUGGGUUGGUAAGUCAGUGGUGAAAUCUCCGAGCUUAACUUGGAAACUGCCAUUGAUACUAUUAAUCUUGAAUAUUGUGGAGGUCAGCGGAAUAUGUCAUGUAGCGGUGAAAUGCUUAGAGAUGACAUAGAACACCAAUUGCGAAGGCAGCUGGCUACACAUAUAUUGACACUGAGGCACGAAAGCGUGGGGGA